AUACGGAGGGUGCGAGCGUUAUCCGGAUUUAUUAGGUUUAAAGGGUGUGUAGGCGGGAGCCUAAGUCAGUGGUGAAAUCUCACAGCUUAACUGUGAAACUGCCAUUGAAACUGGGUUUCUUGAGUAUAGUUGAGGUAGGCGGAGUGUGUAAUGUAGCGGUGAAAUGCAUAGAUAUUACACAGAACACCGAUUGCGAAGGCAGCUUACUAAGCUAUUACUGACGCUGAUGCACGAAAGCGUGGGUAGCGAACAGGAUUAGAUACCCGUGUAGUCC
rnacentral:rRNA from 1 species